rnacentral:rRNA from 1 species
UAGCUAGUUGGUGAGGUAACGGCUUACCAAGGCGACGAUCUGUAGCGGGUCUGAGAGGAUGAUCCGCCACACUGGAACUGAGACACGGUCCAGACUCCUACGGGAGGCAGCAGUGGGGAAUUUUGGACAAUGGGGGCAACCCUGAUCCAGCCAUGCCGCGUGAGUGAAGAAGGCCUUCGGGUUGUAAAGCUCUUUCGGCCGGGAAGAAAUCGCAUGGGCCAAUACCCUGUGUGGAUGACGGUACCGGAAUAAGAAGCACCGGCUAACUACGUGCCAGCAGCCGCGGUAAUACGUAGGGUGCGAGCGUUAAUCGGAAUUACUGGGCGUAAAGCGUGCGCAGGCGGUUUUGUAAGACAGGCGUGAAAUCCCCGGGCUCAACCUGGGAACUGCGUUUGUGACUGCAAGGCUAGAGUACGGCAGAGGGGGGUGGAAUUCCACGUGUAGCAGUGAAAUGCGUAGAGAUGUGGAGGAACACCAAUGGCGAAGGCAGCCCCCUGGGUCGAUACUGACGCUCAUGCACGAAAGCGUGAGUAGCAAACAGGAUUAGAUACCCUGGUAGUCCACGCCCUAAACUAUGUCAACUAGGUGUUGGGUGGGUAAAACCAUUUAGUACCGUAGCUAACGCGUGAAGUUGACCGCCUGGGGAGUACGGCCGCAAGGUUAAAACUCAAAGGAAUUGACGGGGACCCGCACAAGCGGUGGGUGAUGUGGAUUAAUUCGAUGCAACGCGAAAAACCUUACCUACCCUUGACAUGCCAGGAACUUGCCAGAGAUGGCUUGGUGCCCGAAAGGGAGCCUGGACACAGGUGCUGCAUGGCUGUCGUCAGCUCGUGUCGUGAGAUGUUGGGUUAAGUCCCGCAACGAGCGCAACCCUUGUCGUUAAUUGCCAUCAUUUAGUUGGGCACUUUAGCGAGACUGCCGGUGACAAACCGGAGGAAGGUGGGGAUGACGUCAAGUCCUCAUGGCCCUUAUGGGUAGGGCUUCACACGUCAUACAAUGGUCGGUACAGAGGGUCGCCAAGCCGCGAGGUGGAGCCAAUCCCAGAAAGCCGAUCGUAGUCCGGAUUGCAGGCUGCAACUCGCCUGCAUGAAGUCGGAAUCGCUAGUAAUCGUGGAUCAGCAUGUCACGGUGAAUACGUUCCCGGGUCUUGUACACACCGCCCGUCACACCAUGGGAGCGGGUUCCGCCAGAAGUAGGUAGCCUAACCGCAAGGAGGGCGCUUACCACGGCGGGGUUCGUGACUGGGGUGAAGUCGAAACAAGGUAGCCGUAGGGGAACCUGCGGCUG